GGGGCCUCUCGAGGUCGGGUGAGCCUGGCAUGGGGGUCGCCUUCUUCCUCCCCCUGGCGCUUUCCCUCAGCCUCACGGACUGACCCCCUGCCCCUCUCCUCCCUACUUGAGCUGCCCUGAGCCUGGACUUUUUUGGGGGGGCUCUUUGCACCUGGAAGAGUGUAAAUAAAAAGGUGUGGCUCUGAUUAAAGAGCUGGGCUCUGCCUUGUGGCUUCUAGUGGGGCGCCACCCUGGAGCAAAGGGCCCCUCGAUUCCCCCACAUCCAAGAGUCCUUCUGGGUUCAGGAGCAAUACUGAAGAACAAUACUCUUCACCAGUGGAGAGACACUUGGGUCUUUCUUAUUAUUAUUUUUUCAAUUUUUUCAAUUCAUUUUAUAACACAAUUAAACAACACAAA